CGCGCCCUCGUCGGACUCAGGGCCGUGGAGCGCGGCAACCACAGCGCGCGCCCCAGCUUCCAGACCGUCACCGGCGUGCCGCUGAGCUGCUACCUGUACCGCGCGUGGGCGCCGCGGCACCCUCGCACCACCGGUCCAGACAACGGCUGCGUCACGCUGGACUCCAGCGGCCGCUGGAGAACCACGCGCUGCGCCCAGCGGCACGCCUUCCUCUGCGAGCUCUUGCCUCCUGAAGGCCGUUCUCCACGCUCCGGUGCUAUAAAAGGUGACCUGACAGAGGGAAGAAUCACUUCUGAGGACGUAACGGUUCUGGAUUACUGCAGUAAAAAUGACUCACUGUUAAGAAAAAAGCAGCCAGAUUUAUGGGCCAGAGAGCUAAAAUAAACAUAAGUAUUCA